CCUUCCCCAACCAAACACACUCUAUUUACUGCCCCUACUCUGCAUUCCUUCUGCGGUCAGGUCGUUCCGGUUUUCCUGCUGCUUUCAAAUCUCUGGUUCCAGGGGCGGGAAGGGACCCAGGAAGGUCGUGGGCGCCCAGUCUUCUUUAGGUUGAGAGAGCGGAGAAGGCUAGGGAGGCCUCAGGGACGAGACUAGGUACUUGACAGAAAAGAGACAGGUCCGCGUACACCUCCACUCCACGGUCACCAGGGAAGGCGGAGUCUGAUCACGCCCCCUCGCGACCUCGUUGCCCCGCCCCCAGACCCCUCGUUCCGCCCUCUACCGCCAAGCAGGGAGUCCAGCGCGGCCGACUAGGGCCCUUCACGA
ensembl:lncRNA